rnacentral:rRNA from 1 species
GUGCGUAAUAGCUCACUAGUCGAGUGACACUGCGCCGAAAAUGUACCGGGGCUAAACAUAUUACCGAAGCUGUGGAUUGUCCUUUGGACAAUGGUAGGAGAGCGUUCUAAGGGCGUCGAAGCAUGAUCGCAAGGACAUGUGGAGCGCUUAGAAGUGAGAAUGCCGGUGUGAGUAGCGAAAGACGGGUGAGAAUCCCGUCCACCGAUUGACUAAGGUUUCCAGAGGAAGGCUCGUCCGCUCUGGGUUAGUCGGGUCCUAAGCUGAGGCCGACAGGCGUAGGCGAUGGAUAACAGGUUGAUAUUCCUGUACCACCUAGUAUCGUUUUAAUCGAUGGGGGGACGCAGUAGGAUAGGCGAAGCGUGCUGUUGGAGUGCACGUCCAAGCAGUAAGGCUGAGUGUUAGGCAAAUCCGGCACUCAUAAGGCUGAGCUGUGAUGGGGAGAGGAAAUUGUUUCCUCGAGUCGUUGAUUUCACACUGCCGAGAAAAGCCUCUAGAUAGAUAACAGGUGCCCGUACCGCAAACCGACACAGGUAGUCAAGAUGAGAAUUCUAAGGUGAGCGAG